CGCCCACUUCGGGCGAGAGACUGGGGACACCCCUAAACAGUAUAAUAGUAUAGCAGGGCUGACACAGAGACUAACAACCAUUCACACUCACAUCCACGGCAAUCGGAGAGAACCCACGCAGACACGGGGAGAACGUGCAGACUCCACUGGGCGGAGUCGUACCCAGGACCUUCAUGCUGUGAAGCGACGGUACUGACCACCACGCCACGUCAGACCCAGUGCCUCAAGGAGGCCCAAACCAGGUGGGAGUGGCCCAGGUGGAGAGAAUGCAGCCCAGGCCUGAAGCACUGCUGCUUUGCUUGGUUUUGUUUUGUUCCUGUUUUGUGUCUCCCAUUUGUUUCAUUUUGUUCAGUCAGAUUACGUUGUGGUAGUUUUUCUGUGUCUUGAACAAAUCGUGAUUUGUCCCCCAGAAGUUAAUUUAUACACUAUUUAUUUCUGUUUAGGAGUGCGUGGGGCUGGCAGCAGCGUGGCUACCCGGAUGGUGGUGGGGCUGGUUGGACUGGGCCUUUCACUUUCUCCUCCCCUUUUUCUCAGUUGCAUGUUUUUGAUUUAUAUUGUUUUGUGUGAGCGUGGAUGUGGCACUGGAGGGAGUGAGGGCCUUGCCCUAGAGCUUGUCCCCCCUCUUUUCCCCUUCUUAGCCCGCUGCAGCCUACGGCCCCAAUCGAAUCAAACUUGUUUAUUAAAACAAAGUAUUUCAUUCUUUGACGACAUUCCCAGAGUUGAUAGGAGUUCUUGAAAUUGAUUUGUAUCUUUUUGAUGGUAUUUUUAGAAACUCAAAUAAAUAUUGUACUCUGGGGGAA